rnacentral:tRNA from 1 species
GGAAGUGCGCCACCGAUGGUUAGGUGGCCCGGCUGUAACCCGGGGGCGUUGACGCUCAGGGAGUUCGAAUCUCUCCACUUCCACCA